rnacentral:lncRNA from 1 species
UUUCAAAAUAUCAUUUUCUAUUCCAAUAUUUGCAAUAGUCGCAAUUACAAUCGAACCCGACAGUAAACACAUCGAAUUUUAAUGUUUUAGUGGGCAUACUAUUGCUAUACGGUGCCCUUUUCAGGACCUUCGAAGGCGCCCCUUGAAUGAGUGUAGCUGAUGGCGCUGAUGCAAGUUCAAUGAGGCCUGCAAAGUGAUAUCAAAAGGGUGGGAGAGAUUUCUGUUCACCCAGAAAUACAACACACCAAAAAGUUAAAAACCAUAUAACUCUCUCUCUCUCUCUCUCUCUCUCUCUCUC